rnacentral:lncRNA from 1 species
ACCCCAACCCUGGACACAAAUAAUAUCGCUUGGUUCUUGCGCCACGGGACUUGGUGAACCACGUGCAAAUCACAUGCCAAGCAACGAAUUUUCUGUUUGUGAAUUGUGUAGUAAUUGUACUCAAAUUGCACAUACUACGCAUAUGAAAGUAACCUCUUCUUAGUUCUAACCCAGAAUAGCAGAGCUUAACUUAUUUUUCACCAACAAAAUGUGUAUCUUCCUACUGCUUUCGCAGAUGAACAAAAAGCUGUGAGAAUGUGGAUGUUUUGCUUCUUGCUAGUCCACCUCCACUUGGUAAGAGAAGUAAAGCUGCUUUCAUUAACAUGACUUUAUAUAUAGAUAUUUGAUUCACUAAAGAACUUUUUAACUUUAAUACUUUGCUCAUCAGCAACAAUCUGUAUUAAGAGAGUAAAUUUUCAUACCUAAUUAUACAAUUAUCAUAAUCUAAGGAUACAAUUUCUUGCUUCUCUCCUUGCACCUAUGCUCCCCUACUAAAGCAAUUUUAUGAAAGAAUUGAACAAAUUUCUCUUCAUGUUGCUCUGAAAACUACAGAAAAAAAUUAGAGGUGGGGGGAGGAGAUGAAUAACCAAAAGACAAUAGUCUAAUAGUUUGUCAAGCCCAGAUUGCAAGCAAAGACAUCAAUCCAGCUCCAAGAAACAGCAUCAAAUAAGACACUACUUGAAGCCUACAAUUGCAGCUCAUCCUUUUACUGAGAAAAUCUGCCGCAAUUAGAUCCACUAAAGCCAUGUACACCAGAAUGCCGGCUGACAUUGAAUCUAAGAUUCCUUCAACAAUCAGAGCACCUGGACUGUUUGGGUUGUAAACUGAAGCAACUGCAGUACCGAUGCUGAUCCCUACUGGAGUUGUUAAGGCGAAAAAAACAUGCCAUUAACGUGGCUGAUUGGGUAUUGAAUUGAGCUUGCCAGAUGCAACCUCCAAGCGCAAAUCCUUCAAAGAAUUGAUGGAAGGAUAACGCUGCUAUCAAGGGUCUUAUUGUACAUGGACUAUGUGAAACUCCAAGCGAUAUCCCAAUGAUAAUCAAGUGUGAAACAAUUCCAAGUUCCAAAACCUGCAAACAUAACAACAGAUUUCCAAUUAGGACAAAUUCCAUCUCAUUUUCAACCAAAUUUAAGUCACGAGCAUCUCACAUUUUCGCUGCUCACUUUCUUAGCAAUAGAAUUUCAAACAAAAGCAAACACUUAAUGCUAAUGGGAAACAAAUAUCAAUUAGUUGUAUAUACCCGGUAUAAUUGAACAAAACUUUACCAUCAUUUUAUGAAUGAAAUUUCACUUGAAUAAAAUUGUAAAAAAUUUACUUGCCAAGUCUAGUAUUAUUGUUUCCACAAAUCACAGCCAAACUACCACAGCAAAGUCAUGGAGACAUGGACUGACCGGCCCCACCCAUAGCACUUCAAUAUCUAACGAGAAAAGAAAAGAUAGACAAAUAAAAAGAUAAUAGGUCUCCCUUCGUACCUACGUGUCAUAUUCAGACUCUUUGUAUAGUUACAGACUCCAAAGCAACACAAUUCGACGCUAUAAGCAAAGAGUUAAAAUGCAUCAAGACAAACAAAAGUUAAAAUUGUGGAAAACAAAGUACGUCUAAAGUACUUGGGAAACGACGACGUGCCAAACCCCACUUUCCUCAUCCCCAUCACUAAACUCAUGAGAAUGCCCAAGCCCCUGUCCGUGUCCAUGGCCAGCCUCCUUCACGUGCCCCUCAAAAUAUUAAUACCAUUAGAAUAUUUAAUAAAAUCUGAGUACAAUUACUAUUUCACUCUUGAAUUCAAGGGAUUUUUAUUUUGCAUCAUAAAUAAUAAAAUCAAAUAAAAAGAAUAAUAAAAAGUAAAACUAUCAAAACCCAACAAACUUUUUUGUUUCAAAACAAAAUCGACCAAUGAUUUUGGUAGACGAUUGAUACAAAUUGCAAGCUUAGAGUAGAAAAUUGAAUACAUUCAAAAUUUGAUGUUAUUUUUGCUAACAUGGUAAACUUAAAGUGAGUGACUGAUAGUUUUCCAACAUCUAGCAUCAAUGGUGCAUCCAGAGAAAUAAUUUACAGGGAGCUAUAUUAGAUAAUAGUAAAAUGUAAAAACUAAAACCUUGAAUAUCUAAAAAACUUGCUAAUACAUUUAUAAUUGUUCUCAAUGCGUUUUUACAUUUUGAAAAUGUUAUGCAAUAGACUCAUUAUCAAUACUAUUAAAUUUAUUAUAUAUCAGACUACUACAAAUGAGCAGUAACCCCUAUAAACCUCUCCAAAUGCAUUUUCUGUACACUUACAUUGGCCAGCGUCAGCAGUACCUUCUGCAAAUGCGUUGAUAGCUUCUGUACCAUAAAAAUGUAAUCUGACACUAUUCAAGCAAGAGUCAUUCUUUAAGAUAGCAGCAGGUGCAGCAGUUAAGUAUUGGAAUGGAAUGCUUUUAGUGGAGGACAUUGCUUCUACAACAAGCAUCAAGUAAGGCAGAAAAAUCAACAGGGACCAUUCUGGAUGUAGCCUUAAGAAAUUCAUCUCAUCUGGCCUAGCAAGUGGCGUGCAAGGUUUCAGUUAAAAAAUUAUCUAUCAUCUGGUGGCAAUGUAGGACUCUUGGAACACAUACUGAUGUUGUGAAGCUCCUUCAUUCUGAAGGCUGGAUUGCAUAAACCUGAAAUAUAAUGAUACUUCAGUCAUUAGGGAGGAUUCAAAAGUUAACUUUGCAGAAUAAUUAAAUUCCUGUACACUCUCUUCUUAAACUCUUAAUUAACAAAUUUUAAAUCCAAUUCAGUCAUCAUAGAGGAUUCAGAAGGAUCAAAGAAGGUUCUAGGCUUGUGGCCUUCGUCGGUGCAUGUGUGGAGGCUGUGCCACCAGAAAUUGGGCUUGAGAAGUUUUGAUUAAAGCAAGAAAGUAACUCUUUUACUAUUCCCCGUAGCAUUGCUUACUCAGAAAGAUCUUUCAAUGGAAGCAAGGUUAAUCAGCAGAAGCACUAUGAGCAACAAUGAAUGUUUUGGAGAUGAGAGAGAGAAAAAAUAAAGUGGCAGAGGACUUGCAAUUAAGAUGAAUAUGCAAGAUUUCAGGGAUCAUCACUGUAGCAUAAUGCAUUGUCCGGUGUGCUUCAAACUCCUUCUAAACCAUCAGCUAAAAACGUAAUAUAAUAGAAAAUGUGAAAAUAUGCAUAAUCACCAGGCAUCAAAUCUGUUUUUAGGCCCCAUGAAUCUCAAGCUCCUCUAAUCCAUCAACUUAAAAAGAAAGAUAAAAAUAAUGAAGAAGGAACAGCUUACCGAAAAAGCUAUCCCGGCUAUACGAGAUAAAAAUGCCAGACAAAAGUUGUUAAAAAGUAAACGAAAUCUCUUAUUGCUGAAGAUGUGUUUCAUUGUAUUCCAGCCCACAACAAAUGUUUGGGAAUCUUGCAGCAAAGUUGUCAUCAGCAUCUGAAGAUUCGAUGUCCAGUAGUGGACCCAGCAACUGACCAUUAAAAAGUUUAGACAACAUAUGCAGCAUAUUGAUGGGUCCACAUGUCCCCAUGUCCCCAGCAUUCUAAGGCACUUGGAUUAUUGGAUGCUAGAUUUCAAGAGCCAGGGCUGUGGCUCCAUACAGCGGGGUCAAGAUUUUGGUGGAAUUGAACAACAAUCAAUCAUGGAGAAGCGCUCCCCAUGGAUGCAAGCAACCUUUCUAGCAUCUAGAGGAUCCCUCGCUCUACCGAAUGGGCUCCUUCCUCAUAAUCAUCAUCCUUACUAUAAUGGCAGUCAAAUAAGGAGAAAGAUCUAAAUAGGAUAGAGGGUCUUGUACAGAGAGUGUUAUAGGUAGUGUGGUUGUCGACCUUGAUAUCCUUGGGACAGCCAUCCUACCUCAUCAAACUCCUAAGGUACGUGUAAAAUUUAUAACAUUAUCAUGACUUGUUAUGCGCUAAAAUCCUGUAUUCAAUGGGUUCAGAUUUCCUUUUCCUCUUGCUAAUAUCUGUAAUUAACUCUGCUAAAAAAUUUGAUAAUUGUGCAUUUCCCCUCAAGCUCAACCUUACUUCGCACCAUCUCAUCAACUCAAUGUAAUACAAAAUCAUCACAAACCUACAGAACCCUAACAAUUGGCGGUCCAUCAAUCUCACUACUUUUCAGAGGAACCUUCAUAUUUCAUGUGUAACGAAUACAUGAUCAUCAGAACUUAAACAGAAAGCGGGAUUUUCAAAUCUUAAUUUUUUAUGUAUCAAAAUCACAUAUCAAGAUAGUUCUUUGAGAAAGUAAGAAAUACAAUUACAGCAGAGCAUGUGAUAAUAAGAAACAUAGUUACCGCAGGGCAAGUUACAAAAAUUGUGUUACCUGAGCACUUUGGAAUAUCCCACACCGCUAUAGAUGUGGAAGUACAUCUAGGAUCACAUAUUGCUCUGUUAUCUUCGUGGUGGACGUUCAUAGCAAGCAUCCAUGACCCGAUAGUUACAUCCUCAUUGCUGAACAUUCUCAAACUGAAAAGCAGAACAUAUCUAUUAACAAAAGCAUAGAAGGAAGAAAGAUUACAAAAUAAAACUGAAAGAGAACAGACAAGGCAUUGUUACAUAAAUAGCAGAGCAAGUCAAAUUAACAUUUUCAAGGGGAAAAAAUCUCAAAAUGUAUGCAAUGAGAACUUUUGAUCCCAGCAUCAUAAACAGGGAAAAAAUAUAAAAUAAAUUUCAUCUGGACACAUGAAAUUUUAACUUUUCGUUGGUUCUAAUGGAUAUUUUCAGUCAUUUUUCAGUACAAUCUUAAACUAAUAGGUAAAAGAAGAUAAGCAAAUGUGAAUGUAUGAAGACCAAUGAAAACUUUAUCCAAAUGCACCUGUUAUUUCUUGCAGCAGCUAGUGAAGCCACCACAUUUGCAGACAGAACAUAUAUAGGACCAUAAGCAUGCAAGAAGUAUUCAUUUCCAAUAAGGUGCCCUGAUUUUUCAUACCUGAAAUUUUCAAAAUUAUAAAUCAACUAAUAAAAUAAUUUUACAAAAUAAAGAAACAUGUGAAAAAAUAUGAGAUAUCUGAAAGAUAACAGUUUUAAUAAGCAAAACCCAUAUACCACUUCAUUUUAGGGUCAGUGAUCACAGGUCCUUUCUUCAUACAACCAAUGUAAGUCAGCGGAUUGCUACGUUCCUUGGCAAGAAGAGUUGCAAGACGAUCUGAAGAAGUUGAAAGAAAAUAAAUUUAUAAUGUCACAACGCAUUUUUAAGAGUCACAGAAUGCAUGAUGCCUAUCUUCAUUAUUUCAGAUACCAGGGCGCAAAUAAAUGUCAUCAUCAGCUUUGACGUAAUAAUCUGCUUCAAAAUGCAGGAAAGCUGCUUUCAAAUAAGCCAACCUAACAAUAGCAAAAAUGAAGAAACCAAAUUACCAAACAAGCCACCGUUUUUUUUUUUGGAUCAAAAUAACAAAGAGAACUUCACCUCUUACGUUUUAUAAGGAAGCUUUAAAUAUUCUUCCUGAACAUCUAUGAGCAUAAAAUCUCUGUACUUAUCAAUCUCUUUCUCAAGCUGUGCCAUCUUCUUUGCAUCUUUCGAUUUCCCAAUUACAAACCGAAAUGCUAUCCCGGUAGCUUGCUCUAAUCUAUAAAAUAUACGACAAAUUAAACCAGCAUGUUCUUUCAGUUAUUAAACCACCCUCCCCCCCCCCCCCCCCCAAAAAAAUCUUUGAUAAAAUAAAUGAAGCAUUUAUACCUUAAGAGUCCAUCCGGGUCAGAAGGGAACCACGUGCUGCGAAGAGCGGCCCGGCGAUCAGCUGAACCGAAGCCGGUUUGAAUUCCGACAGACCCGAGAAGCUUGGGGCGAUCAAGGAGAGCUCCAUUAUCGCGGAGUUUUCGAGAGUCGGAUAGAGAGUAGAAUGCACGGAAAGUGUCUUCGGAUCUACCGCAACGGUAGACGGGUAGGGGACUGGGGCGGCGGACGGCGUUGACGGCAAAGAUUAUGCCAGCGAGGCCGAAGAAGAUGGAGAGGAGUGAAAGGAGGAGAAUGGGCAGGGAUAUUUUAGAAUUAAGCUUAUGAAGCUUUUGAUCUUUGGCUGAGUAGGAUGAGUUUGUGGUGGUGGAGGUGGGAAGAGCUGAGGAGUUGUGGCGGUGGGAGAAGAGUGGCAUUUCGGUGAAUUGUGAGUUGAGACAGGGAAAAUGUUGGGGAAAUGGGAUUGGCGAAAGGAUCUGUCGUUGCUUCUUCUAGCUCUAUACCACUGGUUCGGAAAUGGGAAGUAGAGUUUCUUGGAAGGGACGCUCCUGGGUGAAUAGUGACACCGCGAGGCUGAAGCUCCUCUUUUAAUACCAUUUUCAGUUCUUAAAGACAAUUCAUGUUGUUUUAAAUUUAAAAAAAUACAUAUCAUAUUCAGACAGCCUCAGGUCGAUUUUGAGUAUUGGAUGUUUGACCCUUUUUCUUAAUUAUUAAAGUAGUGUUUUUUUUUUCUAAAAUUUGAAUAUAUUCAAAUAAAUAUGUGAAUGACAUAUUUUUAAAAUUUUUGAAUAUAAGUGUUAAGUUGUUUUUUUAAAAAUAAAAUAAAAGAUGAUUUUGUAGGGGAAUCAAACGAAUAAACAAUCGAAUUUGAAUCGGAUAGUGGACGAAUUGGUCAGAGUUUUGUGGAUUUAAUUCGAUUCGAUUCGUUUAUUAAAUGAAUUGAAAUAUAUGGAUUCAAAUAAAUUUAGUGAAAUUAAUAAACGAAUUGAAUUGAAUUUGGAUUUGGAUUAGUUUACUACUUGUUUAUCUUAUAUAAUGAACCCAUAACAAAUCAAAUUGAAUAUGAACUCAUUUACAAAAAUAUAAUUAAUAAAGAAAAAUAAAAUAAAAUGUAAAAAGACCAUAAAUAAAUUUGGCAUCCUACAAAAAACAAAUUUAUUAUCAUUCAUAAUCACUAUAUUAACCUUCAAAUUUUAAAAAAAUUUCAUACAUAUUAAUGAUACAUAAGUAAUUUAAUUAAAUGAAUUUAAAUGAAUCGAUUGUGUUUGAUUAAUUUAUUACUCAUUCAUUAAACGAAUAAACGAAUCAAUACCCUCAAACCUAGAUUUGAUUCGUUUAAUUAACGAAUCUAAUCAAAUUCACCCAUUUAUUAAAUGGUUCAAACUUUUCAAACCAAACCAAGUUAAUUCACAUCGAAUUGAAUCAAAUAAAUAAAUUCUGACUUACGUUGCCACCCCUAAUAUUUUGACAUAUAUACCUUUAUAGAUAUUGUGAAUACUUAUAUUUAUUUUUUAAAAACUGAUAAUGUGUACAUUAACAAAAUACAAAAAAUAAAAAAUAUAUUCAACACAUGUAUUUUUUAACAUUAAUAUAUAAUACAUAUAAUGUUAUUUUUAGUAUAAAAUAUGAUUUUUUACUUGUUAAUUAUGUAAGUCGACCAAGAAUUGUUUAACUAUCUGAAUAAAUAGUAUUCAAAAUCUAUUAUAAAAAUAGUAGUUCUAAAUACAAAGAUAUUGACCUAUUAUAAAAAACACUCACCUAAAGUCUUAUUAUGUUUAACAUUCUCAUUCAUGUUAAAAAAAAUAAAAAAUAAAAUUGAUAGUUGAAUAUGAACUGAACAAAGAAAAUGGAAGCUGAUAAAUAAAUAAAAAAUAAGAAAAUGAUAAUUUAUAUAAUAUGAAAUAAAUAUAUUUAAUAGGAGUAUUAAUAAUAGAGAAUAUUAGAAAUUCAUUUAAAUGUUUUGCUAUUCAGAUAAAAGUCAAAAUAUUGUUUUCAUUCAAACCUAAACUUCACGCUUCAAGUCAUUUCCUUCUAUUUGAAAGAGGAAAAAAAUCAAGUGCGCAUAUAAAUUAAUAUUGAAUAAAUUAAUAAUUUCAAUUAUAUAAUAUUUUUUUACAAUCACGACUUAGGCUAAUACGCUAAAUUAAUAAUUUUGAUAAAUUAAUAAGAUAAUAUUUUUGUAAAACCCUUGUAAAAAUUUCGUGAUUAUGAUAUUUUAUUAAAUAAAAUAUGACUCGAUUGUUACUUAUUUUUUUCUUGAAAUUUCAAUCUAGUAUCUCAUUUAUAAUUUUUCUUAUCGUAUAUAGAAGCUCAGAGGUUGAAUUCUCGAAUUGCAACAAAAAUAAGUACAAAGAAAUUAUUUUUUUAUCAAUUAAAAUUAUAUCUUGUGUAUUCAUUUAUAUUCAAUUGUUUAGAUAAACAAAAUACAAUAAAUUUUAAAUUCUAUUCAUGUUCAUUGAAUUGUAAUACAACUGUAUAAAUGAAUAAAUUAUUAAUUUAUUGAUUAAUUAGUGUCACCUUUAGUUAAUAGAUUUUACAUGGUCCAACAUUAUUAAUUUAUUGAAGUUAUUCUAUAAUCCAAAUCCAAAUCCAAUGAGAACUUAGAGUCCACCCAGGCCAAUUUCAUCAGUUACAAUUUUAUAAUCCAAAUCCAAUGAGAAAUUAGAGUCCACCCAGGCCAACUUCAUUAGUUACAAUUUUAUGCACCACUUAUCAGACCAUAUAUAUAUUUUUAAUAAUUAAUAUUCAUUUAUUAAAAAAAAUUACAUACAGUGUCUGGAUUCUUAUAUCACAACUGAUGCUCUAAAAUUGGGGAGACUGGAAAAGUAUAAGAAAAUUCAUAUAGCCGAAACUGAAGGGGGCUUGAGAUAACUUCCAUGCCUUUCUAGCAUGCUUGCAAAGAACCAAGGCAUGCAAAGUGUCGCCAUACUCGAAGCCAUAAUAGAAAUCAGCUGUAUUCAACAAAUUAAAGGCGUGUUUGAUGUUGUUUUUCAAUUCGCAUUUUCUUAAAAUAAAACAAAAUUGAUAUUUUGAGACACUUGGAGAUCAAGGAAGUAAAAAGCAUUAUGAAGGUCCAAACGCCUAAUUCUGCUUCUCCUUCGAGUCCAAUAGCAAACCAACCAAUUCGGGCAACAGCAGUAUCAAUAGAACCUGACUCCCAACCGUCACCAGAGAAAUGAAAUUUCUUUCUCGCUCGUUUUCCCAACCCUUCAACUCAAUCAUUUCUGUCCAAUUGAUGGCCAAAACAAGCACCAAAAACUAAAACUCAACGUAUUUCUUCCACAAUCAUUUUCACAAAGACAAGUAUAUUUCAUUCAAGCACAAACAUUUCCAAUUCCACUACUUAUAAUCAUCGUUAAUUUUUGUAGGUGUUAUGUUCUAAAAGGUACCUAAUCAUAUCACGUGUCCAUCCUAUUAAAUAAUAAAAACUAUUAUAGGAAAAUAACACGCAAGCUAUUUCAAGAGAAUAACACUUAUUGAUGUAAAUUUUUGCUCAAUGUACAUCGAUUGAUUUGUGUUUCGAACUUUCUUCUAAAUCGAGUUCUGUGUCUUAUUUUUUUUCCUUGAGCCGAGUGUCUCAAAUUACGUAUCUCUUUGUUGUUAAUUGUUUUGCAAAAAGAAACAAUUAUCAAAGGGUGCCGGGGUUGCCGACAAUAAUCUUCCGAUGCUCAAGUCAACUUUUUAAAUUUGAUUGUAGAGAGAGAAGGACAACAUUUCCUUACCCUUUUUUCUCUUACCUUCAAAUGGGGAGUCUUAGUCUUUAUAUAGGCAAUUUGAUCCAUGAGGUGGAGGUGCCAUCUUGACACGUGGCAUUGUCUUAGUGAUAAGUGUCUGCAAAACUCAUGCAUAAAGACACCUGACAUUAUGUGUCAAGCUUGUUCAUGACAAGUCUUCUUUGAACACUUGUCUUGAUUUCGAGCUCUUGGCCUUCAUCAGCGUCGAGCACUUCGACUCUUAUGUUGGUUCCCCAUAAAAAGGAUUGGUUUUGUGGUAUUUCACAUAUAUGCAACCUUUGUAGAAUAUUACUUUCAAGUAGUGGCUAAAUAUCUAGGCCAUUAUUUGUAAAAAAAUGGACCUAGGUCAUUCCUUAUAAAGAAUGCACCUAGGUCGCUUUUUGUAGAAAUAUGUCUUUGGCGCUUUGUCGAAAACUCAUCAUUUGGGUGUUUUACUUAGAAUAAACCUAGGUCAUUCUUUAUAAAGAAUAGACGUAAGUCGCUCUGUGUAGAAAAAUGUAUUUGCCGCUUUGUCGAAAACUCGCCCUUUGGGCGUUUUACUUAUAAUAGACCUAAGUCAUUCUUCAUAAAUAGUGGACCUAGGUCUCUUUUUGUAGAAACAUUCAUUUACGUUUUGUCGAAGAACCGCCCUUUGGGCAUUUACUUAGAAUGGAUCUAGGUCUUUUUUUAUAGAAAAUAGACUUAGGUCAUUCUUCAUAAAGAAUGAAUAUGGGUCUCUCUUCGUAUAAACACUCAUUUACGUUUUGUCAGAGAACCACCCCUUAGGCAUUUACUUAGAAUGGACCUAGGUCAAUUCAUUCUUUAUAAAGAAUGGGCUUUGAUUGCUUUUUAUUGCACCUAUAUUUUUUGUGGUUUUUUAGCCUUUCAUAAUUUGGUCUAACGACACUUAAGGAAAAAUUUAUCCUGGAGCUUAUAAAAAUGGCAAGAAUGAGGAAUUAGUUCUGCAAUCCAUUAGUUUAAGGAAAUCAAGCCUAAAAAUCAUAUGAGUAAGGAAACACAUAGGGGUGGAAUAAUUCCUUAGAUCAAAUUCACCUCCAAGUGUAUAGAAAUUAUGAGUGACACAUGUCGUUAGAUUGAGAGUUCAAAGCAAAACCAUAAAUCAACAUCACUCAUCAUCUAUAAAUAGAGACUCAUCUCUAAGAGAAAAUGGGUAUUGAUCCUCCAAAAGCACUGUUUAUACUUAGAGAGAGAAAAUCACUUCUCCAUCUUUUUUUUUUUUUUUAAUAUUGAUUAAACACUAACUUAGGCUUCGAAAUGUCUUUUUCAAGUACUCACCCCUCCGAAUUCGAGACCAAUAAUAGUGACAAGUUUUCCAUAAACCACAAAUAUGUGUGAAGGUAAAAAAAUCAAACACCUUCAAUUUUCAAUUCUAUUGCCACUAAUAAUUUAUCCGCUCCGAUAAUUAACUUGAAAAAAAGAACAAGUUCAAUUUAUUAAAAAAUAAUAAUAAUAAUAAUAAGAGGAAGCAAUAUCGUGUAUGUAUAACCUGGAAAGGGAGAGAGAAGAGUUGAGAGCUUGAGAUAAGAUUUUCAGGUGAGGGAGAGAGAAGAAAGAGUAGAUGACCAGAAAAAAAAAAAAAUUCGUGUACAGAAAAAAGUGUUAUUCCGCACGCAUGAGAUUCCAGAGGGUCCAUUACAUCCACCAACAGAGGAGAGGGUCCAUCCUCCACCAACUGCUAUCAUCUCUGGGCCGACAACACGUACUCCACCUUCUCGACCCUAUCAUUAAGAAAGGCCUUGACGGCUGGAGGGCUCGGAGCUUUCUUCGAUGGAGCUUCAACCUCCUUUCCUGAAAGCUCUUGCAGGAAUUCUGAAACCAGUCUUUAGGUAUAUAUAUAUAUUUUUUUUGUUUCUUAAUUUAUUUCAUAAUUGGUUUGGAAGAACGGCGAAAAUCUGUAUACCAAAGUGUUGUGCUUGUUAUUAGUAUUACUAUCAACUGGAGUUUGUUUUGCGUGUUUUUACAAUUUAUUUUUAAAAUUUAUUCCACCGAACAUGCACUUAAAUUAUAGAAGUAAAAAUAAAAAUAGGAACCAUGCAUCAAUACCGAACGGGCCCUACUGUAUAUGAACAACUUUACUUCAAAUUGAUCAAUUUCAGCGCAAAAGCAAGGCAUUGAAAAUGAUGCGAAUAAAUGAAAAAUAAAAAUUAAAAAAUGGGUUCUCAUCUGGUUGUCUUUUUUUUUUUUUUUUCCGUAUAAAUGCCACCAACCAUCUUACGGAUUUUUUUAUGUUCACAACUUUUUUGCAAUAUUUCUUCCACACUAGGGGUGAGAAUUUGAUCUGACUCUAAUUUUUAAUCUGAUUGACCCGAUCUUAAUUUUUUGAGUUUCAGGUCGGGCUUAAGUCGACCCAACCCGACUCAACCCUAUAUUAAAAAAAUAAAAUAAAAUGGUUGUGAUCCUUGUGAAAUUGAAUUGUGUGUGGAAUAAAUGAUUGUAGAAUUGAAUCAUGUGUUUUAAAUUUAAUUGUAUUGUGUAUUUUUAAUAUUGGAUUGUGGAAUUAAAUUGUAAAAAAUCAUUCCUAUUAAUUUGGUUGUUUUGUGAAUUAUUUUGCAAUUAAUUAUAUUGUAUAUUUUGCAUGUUGUGUUGUGAAUUAUUUUAAGUCAAAAAAAUCGUUUCUUUUAUUUUAUAUUCAUGGUAUUGUAAUUAAAAAGAGAACAAAAAUUGUAAAGUAACGUAAAUAAAAUUAAGAUGUAGUUAUAAAAUUAAGAUGUAGUUAUAAAAUUAAAAGAUAUUGAUAAAAUAGUACAAAAAUAAAUUUAUGAUGGGGUCCGGAAACACAAAUGAUAGAGCUUUUCUUAAGAUCGGGCUGCCAAGCCCGACCCGGACCCGGACCCGGACCCGACGGAUUGCCAUUCCUAUUCCACACUAACACAAAAUGUUACAAGACAAAACCCCAACCCUGGACACACAUAAUAUCGCUUGGUUCUUGCGCUUUGGGAUUUGGUGAACCACGUGCAAAUCACAUGCCAGGCAACGAAUUUUCUGUUUGUCUGAUCAUUGUGUAACAAUUGCACUCAAAUUGCAAAUACUAUGCGUAUGAAGGUAACCUCUUCCUAGUUCCUAAAAUCCAGAAUAGCAGAGCUUAACUUAUUUUUCACCAACAAAAUGUGUAUCUUCCUACUGCUUUCGCAGACGAACAAAAAGCUAUGCGAAUAUGGAUUUUUUGCUUCUUGUUACUUCACUUAGCAAGAGAAAAACAUGCGACCUUGUUAGGGUCAACAAGGUCCAAAAUGAACAAUACAUUGACAGGUCUGAGUUAAGUCAUAACAACUUUCAUUAGCAUGAAUUUAUAUAGAGAAUAGAGAUAUUUGAUUCACUAAAGAAUUUUUGACUUUAUUAAUUUGCUCAUCAGCUACAAUCUGUAUUAAGAGAGUAAAUUUUCAUACCUAAUGAUACAUUAUCACAAUCUAAGGAUACAAUUUCUUGCUUCUCUCCUUGCACCUAUGCUUCCCCUACUAAAGCAAUUUUAUGAAAGAAUUGAACAAAUUUCUCUUCAUGUUGCUCUGAAAACAAUAGAAAAAAUUAAAGGUGGGGGAGGAGAUAAAUAACCAAAAGACAUAGUCUAAUAGUUUGUCAAGCCCAGAUUGCAAGCAAAGACAUCAAUCCAGCUCCAAGAAACAGCAUCAAAUAAGACACUACUUGAAGCCUAAAAUUGCAGCUCAUCCUUUUACUGAGAAAAUCUGCUGCAAUUAGAUCCACUAAAGCCAUGUACACCAGAAUGCCGGCUGACAUUGAAUCUAAGAUUCCUUCAACAAUCAGAGCACCUGGGCUGUUUGGGUUGUAAACUGAAGCAGCUGCAGUACCGAUGCUGAUCCCUACUGGAGUCGUUAAGGCAAAAAAACAUGCCAUUAACGUGGCUGAUUGGGUCUUGAAUUGAGCUUGCGAGAUGCAACCUCCAAGUGCAAAUCCUUCAAAGAAUUGAUGGAAGGAUAACGCUGCUAUCAAGGGUCUUAUUGUACAUGGACUGUGUGAAACUCCAAGCGAUAUCCCAAUGAUAAUCGAGUGUGAAACAAUUCCAAGUUCCAAAACCUGCAAACAUAACAACAGAUUUCCAAUUAGGACAAACUCCAUUUCAUCUUUAACCACAUUUAAGUCACGGGCAUCCCACAUUUUCGCUACUCACUUUCUUAGCAAUAGAAUUUCAAACAAAAGCAAACACUUAAUCCUAAUGGGAAACAAAUAUCAAUUAGUUUUAUAUACCCGUGCAACAACAUUGCUUGUAAUCUUCCACCAUGUUAUAAAUUUGCAAUAAGGCAUAAAAAUGUAAUGUCUCUAAUACAAAUAUUGCACUGCCAAUAUCACUCUACCUUGCACAAAUUUGAUGAUCACAAUAUCCAUCAAUUCCCUUUUUGGCAAGAAUAGUCCAAUUCUUUUCAAUCAAUUUUUGGUGAUGUGACAUUCAUUAAACAAUGAUUUAAAUAAAUAAUUGAACUAAACUUUACCAUCAUUUUAUGAAUGAAAUUUCACUCGAAUGAAAAUUGUUAAAAAUUUACUUGCCAAGUCUAGUAUUAUUGUUUCCACAAAUCACAGCCAAACUACCAAAGCAAAGUCAUGGAGACAUGGACUGACCCGCCCCACCCAUAUCACUUCAAUACCCAACAAGAAAAGAAAAUAUAGAUAAAUAAAAAGAUAAUAGGUCUCCCUUCGUACCUACGUGCCAUAAUCAGACUCUUUAAAUAUAGUUACAGACUCCAAAGCAACACCAAUUAGACGCCAUAAGCAAAGAGUUAAAACGCAUCAAGACAAACAAAAGUUAAAUUAGUGGAAAAUAAAGUUCGUCUAAAGUACCUGGGAAACGACGACGUGCCGAACCCCGCUUUCCUCAUCCCCAUCACUAAACCCGUGAGAAUGCCCAUGCCCGAGCCCCUGCCCGUGUUCAUGGCCAGCCUCCUUCACGUGCCCCUCACAUGCGUUCUGCCCAUGAGGAUGAUUAUGUCUAUGGUGAGCCGCGUGUGCAUGCAUCCCCACAAUGUGCAUGCCUCCACCUUCCUCCUCACCGAAGACCUUAACGUUCCGGUCCUUAAUUUCCAGAACCGGGACAAUACCCGAAUCCGAGUCCUCAUCCACUGACCGGACCCGACCCUGCUCCUCGGUAGCCCGGGUCAGGCCCUGUUUCCUCUCGUAAUAUUGUGUCCCCACGAAGUCCAGAAGCAGCGUCAGAAGCGAAGCCACCAUGGCGAAAAACCCAGGGAACGGGAACUUGGACCACGGGAAUUCGGGCAAACACGGGUUAUCCAACGCCUCGGAUCCUCCAGAUAACAUGUGAACAAAACCCGUAGCCAAAAUGACACCGGCAGCAAACGCUUUAGUAGCGACGAACAGACUGCCGUCGGUUUUUAAGAACCGGCGGUGCUUCCCAAUUAACGGAAUGGCGACGCCGACGAUUCCGGCAAUGAGGAUGGAGGCUAUGGCGACGAAUUUGAGAUUAAAGGCCGCCGCGUCGUCGCGGCAGUCUUCGCGGUCCGAGGACUCGCAGCUCGACUUCAUCAUCGAAUCAGAAACCGCAUGCAAAAAGGAACCUUUCAAAGAAAAAAAACAAAUAGAUACAUAAGAUUCUUAGGGGUUGUAACAUUACAAAGCAAUUGUAGUCGAAGAGUUGACAAAAUUACCGGAAAAAGCUUUCGUCUUUGAUCUUAAAUGAUCGAAAAAACGCAAUCCCCAGAGAUCCUGAGAAACCAAAGAAAAAACGACGGCGUAUUACGAACAAAUGAUAUUUAAAUUUAGAAAAAAAAAAAAAACAGAACCAGCGGUUAGGAUCCCGAAGAGCGAAUCGAACUCACCUCGAUGAAUGACAUGGCAAGAGAAACGAGAUUCUGAAAAGGUGGUUUUUUUUUUUUUUUAAUAAUUAGUAUGGAAGAUGGUGAUGGGGUUUAAUCAGCAAGCACAAGAAAGAAUCGGGCCCCGUCGUUGGCGUCCGAAAAUGAAAUGAAAAUGAAAAUGGCUGAUGCGGAUUCCGAAGGCAGGCGAAGAAACAUAAAAAGGCCAAGACAUAAGCAAAGAGUGUCGACAUAGUUUGACGAAAGAAGGCGCGGGGGACGCAGUUUGAGAAAUUUCGCUGCGGCUUUUUGCUACAGAAUGAACGCGAGAGUGUCGACACUUUUUUGGGCAAAACUCAUUUGAACUCUGUAUUUCUUUAUUAUUAUUAUUAUUAUUAUAAUUUUUGUUCAUGCUGGCGUCGAUGGGCACAUGAUGGACAAAUAUCAUCGUAUAUUUUAUUAAUUAAGAAGAGUUUUGAUUUUAAGGAUAAUGAUUAAUGGAUGAUCUAUAGAAAAUGUGGCACGAGCCAACCAAUGGAUGGUCGUGUUAAGUUUCGCGUGUAAGUAAAGUUAAUUACGUCCGCACGCGCAUUUAGAAAUCCUUACGUAUGCAAAAGCUCUCACCGUAAAUUUUAUCAAACUUGUUACUUUGUAUCUUUUCUUUCUUUUUCUUUUCUUUUUUUUUUUGCCCUUUUGUUUGUUUAUUUUCUCUCCAUUCAUAUCCUCUGAUCUGGAGUGUGUGUUAUUUUCUCUCCAUUCACCGUAAAUUUUAGUUCAUUAAGCCAUGAUAUAUCUAUAUCAUCGUAUAUAUAGACACACACAUACAUACAUGAUAAUGUUGCAUCAUUAUUAAUGUCAUAUGUGUCAAAUUUCUAAAAUAAAUAAAUUAUAUGGGUCGGACCACCUCAAUUUAGAAUUACAUUACCCAUAGUUGUGUAUCUCAUAUAGCUAGAAUUAAAAUUAUCCACUAUGCUUAUUACUUCUUUGAGGAAUUUGUAUAUUAUUUGUUUUAUAAAUUUUAUUUAAUCAUUUUCUUUUUGCUUCAAAAUUGAUAUAGUGAAUUGAUAUAUUAUGUCAGAAUACGUGAAAUUUGUUAGAAAAAAAAAAAAGAGAGAGUAAAUACAGCCAUUGUUAUAACAUCUAUAAUUUGCUCUGCUCCAUUACGUAAUUGCCCUAAUUUGUGUUGCAGCCAGGUGCCGACGCUUGAAUUACUGGUGAUAAGUUAUUGUCAAAGAAUCAUAGUCAAAAAACAGGAAUACUGCGCGCGCAAGUCUUACAAGUUACAUACAAAAUUACGCGUAUUCUCUAUGGAUGGCCCAACUGCGCGCAAUCAUUUUCUUAACGCUUGAAUUACACCUUUUGACUUUUGAUUUUGAGUUCACCAAUUGCGAGGGCAAUGUCAUUUUCAAAAUUUUCAUAUAAUCACAAAAAGGAUAGUGUUUAUUUAUUUUAAAUUUUUUUUUUUUUGCCCCCUCAAAAUUUUAUUCUAAAAUUAAAACGAUAAUGAAAGAUUGCUUCAAACCAAUUAGAUAGAUACAUCGACGACGUACAACCACAUAUGUGUACGACAACCAUGCCCCCCCAAUCAAAUCUUAAUGAACUAAAAUUUCAUUCGUUAACUAAUCGUCAUCGAUUGGAUGAUGACAUUAUUACACACAGCUUCUCGAAUUAAAACCCAAAAUGGAACUUGUCCUUUUCUACAUACGUCAAUGCCGUAUGCCACUCACAUGGUGCGAAUGUCCCACAUUUAUAAAUUAUAUUCCUUAUUAAUUAUCACGGUUUAGGAGGAAAUCCCAUGGUUUCUUUCUGUUUUGCUUCUCAGUUUCUUCAGAUGUACAUUCAUAACCACUGCGUGACUCCAAUAACAUCAGGCCCCCGCCUCUGCACGAAUGAACUCACGCAAUAUGACACCAGGCCCAUUUAUGGAUCUUUAAAUGACUUCAACCACAGAGGCCCAUUUAAAGUCUCGAAUUUAGAUGAGCUUUUAAAACACAAAGUCACGUAAUAGUAAAUUGUUUUCUCUCACAUUGAUGAGAAUUAGUUUAAGGCUUUAAGCUAAAUGCUAAAAUAAGUAAAUAAAUAAAUAACGUAUUGUAUUUACUAUAUUUGUAAUACUGUGUAAUACAGUGUGGUAUUAUACUGUUUAACUAACUUUUAUGGUAUUUGUCAGAUGAUGUGAUAUAAUAAUGAUCAUCUAAGGCGCAAUUUGGGAUUAAGAUAUUGUAACUUUUAAAUUAUAACUAUUCUGAAAAAAAAAAAGAGACUAUAACUAUGAGAUAAAGUUAAUAUUAUUUAGUAAAAAUAAUUUUUAAAUAAUAAUUUUGACAAAAUUCAUAAAGAUAUAAUAGAUUUUUUAUCAUAUAAGCGUAAAAUCAAAUCAACUUAACUUCUAAGAUACAACAGUUAGUGUUUUUCGAACACUUUAGUACUGUAAUUUUUAAACUACAACUGUCCAACCUCAAUCCCAAACAAGCCUUUAAGUCUAAUUCGUCAAACUCUACUCAAAAUAUCUUCAAUGUUGGUUCGUGAUAGAAAUUAGUAUUGAGUAAUGACGACGCUAGAAAAAUCAAAUAAUUUGUGAAAACACUUUGACAAAUAGUCGCUCAAUAAUCAUUAUAAACGUUGUCAUAUGGCUUGGGCCCUAGCAAUCUUUAUAGCUCGGACCUUAAUGAUAAGUCUGUCUGGAGAAUGGAGGGCCUCGUCUCGCAAUAGAUUCAGCACAUUUUUUCGGCCACUGGUUGUGAAAGUUACAAUUCAUUUCUCAAUGUAUUUAUUAUCUCAUGAGAUGCGGAACGUAUCCAUCGGGAAAGAUGUUUAUUAAGAUAAAUAGAUAUAAAUUUAUUAGUAUCUUAUCUAUUUAAAUAUUUAAAAAAAAAAAAACGAAACCAAAAAACCUGGCUGGUAUGGCAGUUAUUAUUAAUAAUUUAAUACGUUGUAUAUAUAGAUCAUCGAGUCAUCAGCAAAACGCCUAAACCAAGGAUGCCCUUGUAAACCGACAACGGUACUCAGAAUCUGAAGGAAAUUAAUAAAUAAUUAAAAAAAAGGGGCAAAUUAAAGAAAGCAUGGAAACGGUGUCGUUGAGAGUGAGCAGGGUAGUUCGUAAGGUGCCCCAAUCAUAUUCUUUAUAGGCUCAAAGUUAUUUAUUUAUAAAAGCUGGAGAUAAUAUAAUUAAAUAAUUAUAAUUAAUAUAAUUAUUAUUUAUAUGUUAAUUUUUUAAAAAUAAAUGAAUAAUAUAAUGUAAGGACCUGUCUAUGGUACAGAUUCUGUAACAAACAUCUCCCGUCAUCCCACCAUCCGAUUUUCUAUUGUUCAGUUUCUCACUCCACAUCCAACCACAUCCAACGGCUGAUGCUGCAGUCUGUACCUUACAGAUUCUGUAAGCUAGUCGAGUCCUAUAAUGUAAUAUUAUUUACUUUAUUAUAUCACAGUUAUCACUAAUGUUAUUACCUUCAAUAUAUUUUAAAAUUUCGCCGCUGCAGCUUGCAACUACAACCUCACAUUAACGCACACUCACCACUUGGGUUUUGUCCAUUUCACACUGGGCCGUCAUGUGAGUACACGUGUCUCUCGAGAUUCUGAAAAAUGAAAAAUUUCACAUAAUUGACCAGCCAAAAUAUCCACCCAAAACAAUGAAACCCAAACCCUCCCUCUUCUGAGCCCUCCUCAUAGAGCAAUUUCACAUCCCCCAAUCUCUCCCCUCUUUUCUCUCAUCAGCCAAAAAAAGAAAAAGAAGGAAGAAAAAAAACGAAAAUCACAUAAUGUUUGAAGAAUCUGUAUCAUUUAUACCUUCAAUCUGGGCUUCAAUGAACAGCUGGUUCACUCCCACUGUUCUUUUUGUUUUCCUUAAUAUCAUGAUUGGAACCAUUGCCAUCACUUCAAGCUUAGCCACACAAAAGGGCAACGACCAACAACAGCAGCAGCAGCAGCAGCAGCAUCAAGAGCAUUACCGUCACCCACAGCUUGCUAGAUCUCCAUCUGUGUUGCAGAGGCUCAAAUCUAUCAACUUUUACAACUACAGAUCCCCUGAACCCAACACCAACUUUACUCAAAACACGCAUUUCACUUCUCAUCAUUUCAACCAGGAACAGGAACAGGAACAACAACAAGAAGAGCCUCAGUAUCAGCACCAGCCGCCUCAAUGGGGUAGAUCCCCUUCAAUGUUGCAAAAAUUAAAGUCCAUCAAUCUUUACAACUAUUUCUCACAAGAAUCCACUACUUUGGACAAAAGCCAAGAAGCAGCACAUACUCAUUACCCACCAAAUCAAGCCCAUCAACAAGAACAAGACCAAGGGCAUCACCACCUGGAACCUGAACAAGAAUAUGAAGAAGAAGGACCAAAAGGAGAAGAAGAAGAAGACGAAGGAGGGCCAAAAGGAGAAGAAGAAGAUCAUAUCCAAGAUCAAGAACAGACAUUUGAUGAGAUUUACAGCCAGCUUAAGGGAAGCCACAUCGUGGCCAGGACCAAAUCUGACACCAAGCCAGCAUCAGGAGAGAUUCUCAAGAAGCUUCCAAAGAAAAUGAAGAAAUCUGCUAGCUCUAAAUCUGCUUUUAACCAUUUCAGAGAGGAAGAUAUUGUGGAAGUUGAGGCUCGCAGGCCAGCUACUGUGAAAGAAUUUGGAAAUGCUAAGGUGGCCCAGGUUGAUGAUGAGGGUGUUGAUGCCAAAGCUGAUGACUUUAUCCACAAGUUCAAGCAGCAGCUGAAGUUGCAGAGGAUGGAUUCCAUUAUCAGGUACAAUGAGAUGAUCAAUAGAGGAUCUGGAAGAUAAAUUAAUUCAAGACUUUUAAUAACUUGUGGUUAAAUUUUAAGGGGCUGUCUAUUUGUUAGAAUGUAACUGCAGAUCUACUGCUUAGGAUCUUUCAUUAUGCUUGAAGAUUUAAGAACAUUUUUUGUUCAAAGUAUGCCACUACUAUUUUCAGUCUCAUUCUGUAUGUGCUUCUUCUCUUUUGUCUUGGGGGGGGUGUGAUUUUGGUCAGUCAUUUCACAAAUUAUAUAUCCAUGCUAUGUGCCUCCAUGGAAAUAGGGAAGCCGGCUGGCUGGGUGUGCCGCUCUUUGUUGCAGAGGUGAACUGGACGAUUGGCUGUAUUGAGUCUUUGUGUAGUUACAGAAAUGCCCAUGGAUAUUACCCUAGAUACGUGGGCACUUUGGUUGCUUUGCUCCUCUCCCUGCUUUAUCUGUAUAAUGCAGGCGCUUGGUUGUGAAGCACGUGGGUGAUUUCGUUUAGGUACUACACAUUAAUACCAAUUGUAACGUGCAUACAAAAUUACCAGUAAAGCAGCAGCAACAGUUUGAGUUGCAGAUUUAUUACUGUUCACCAGUUGUUUAGCUUUUAAUUUUGGUCAUAAAUUGGAGUUCGAAUUAGCUGCCUUUAUGUAACUGGGUCCAUUUAUAAAUGCUCAUUACGCUUUUACUUUUGAAUUUUUUUUUUUUGGUGGGCACUAUUUAUUAUAUGUCUGGAGUGAAAUGGGUCAAAAAUUCCAAUUGAUCUAAUAUGAUAAGGGUCCGCCUAAGUUACAUUUAAAAAGUUACAUUUAACAUAAUUUAUGGUUGACCCACAAAAUAUCAUUCAGCCUUCUAUACUCUAUAUUAUUUAUAAUUUAUUUACAAAUAUUAUAAAAUUUUUUGUAUUGUAAAAUUUUAUUGAGUUCUUUAUACUCUGUUUUAUUUUAAUGAAACUUUUAGAGUACUAAUUUAUUUCCUAUAAUUUUAAAUUCCUAAAAUACCUUCCAUUUAAUUAAAAAAUAUAGUAAUUAUUAAAUAAAUUAUUAUUAUUAUUAUUAUUAUUAUUAUUAUUUUUAUUUUUAAAUGGAUUAUUAUUAUUAUUAACAAGAAUAAAAAGUAUUAUAAUUAAUUUAUUUAUUAAUUUUUUUAGUUAAAAUGUUAAUAAUAAUAAUAAUAAUUAACAAUAAUUACUAUUAAUAAUUAAUUUUUGAAUAAUAAUUAGAAUAACAAUAAUUAAAAUACAAAAUAAUAAUUAUGAUAAAAAUUAAUGAAAGAUUUUAUACUAAUUUGUUACAAUUUAAUUUAUUCUAAUUUUGAUUCUAAGACAAAAUAAACACAUAAAUGGUAAUACAACUCAUUUUAAUUAUAAUUCUUGUCGUUCAAGUAAAUAAAUUAUUUUGAUUCUAAUUCCUCAUUUAGAUUCUAAAUAUUUCGAUUCUAACUCAUUAUGUUUUCAGUUAAUUUUGAUUUAUGUUUAGUGAAUGCACUAUAAAAUUCAUAAUACUUAUAAAAAAAAUUGUAAAUAAUAUAGAGUGAUCUAAUUGAAUAUAAAGUGAUUUACAAUUUUAUAGUACAUUCAGUAAAAAUGAAUUGGAAUAGCUAGAAUUAAAAUGAAGAAUUAGAUCAGAAUAAUUUAUUUAUUUGAAUUGCAUGAAUCGUAAUGAGAAUGGAUUGUAUUACUAUUUCUAUGUUUACUUUGUCUUAGAAUAAAUAUCGGAAUGAGUUAAAUUGUAAUAAAUUACUAUAAAAUCUUUAAUUAAUUUUAUUAUUAUUAUUAUUAUUUUGUAUUUUAAUUAUUGUUAUUGUUAUUAUUAUUCAAAAAUUAAUUAUUAAUAGUAAUUAUUGUUAAUUAUUAUUGACAUUUUAACUAAAAAUUAUUAUUAAUUGUUGUUAAUAGAUUAAUUAAUUAUAAUACUUUUUAUUCUUGUUGUUGUUAAUAAUAAUAAUAAUCCAUUUAAAAAUUAUAAUUAUAUUUAUAUUUAUAAUAAAAUAAUUAUUAUAAUUAUCAUUAUAAUCUAUUUAAUCAUUAUUAUAUUUUUUAAUUAAAUGGAGGGUAUUUUAAAAAUUUAAAAUUAUAGGGGGCGAAUUGGUACUCUAAGGGUAUCAAUAAAAUAAAAUAUAGUACAAAGGGUUCAAUCAAAUUUUACAAUACAAAAAAGUUUAUAAUACUUAUAAAUAAAUUGUAAAUAAUAUAAAAUAUAAAGGGCAGAUUGAUAUUUUGUGGGUCAGCCGUAAUGUGCGUUAAAUGUAACUUACUUAGGCGGACCCAGAUAAUAAUAUUAGGGGGUAAGUUUUAUUUUCCUCCCCUGAGCUUUGGACAUUUUACAUUUAGAUGGCCAAAAUUCAUUUAUUAGUAAAGACCCCCCUACCGUCAGUUAAUUUUGUAGUUUGACUGUUUAUUGAAUUCAAAAAGACUGAAAUACCCCCAAUUAGAUUUUCAAGACUGAACAUGCUAUACAUUUGGCGUGAAAACAAUAACAACCAUAAUAUUACCAUUAUACCCCUUUAAAUGCAAUAAAACAACAUAAAUAAAUGCUAUUAAUGUUAAAGAAAAAGCUAAAAUUUAGCAAAUAGAAAAUGCAAAAUGUAGUUGACUGGUAGUAACACAAAAAUGCAGCAUAUCAUCUAUUUGAUGCCAACAAAUUUAGUACAUAACAAGACUAUACAUAUUCAACAACAUCUAACUAACUUAAAGAGACUAAUCAUUCUAAAUGGAAACAUUUCAAGUUGUUGAAAUUUUUUUUUAUCAAUUAUCUAAUUAACGACUAUUGAGGCAUAUAUUAUAUUAUGCAAUUAAAAACAAUGAUCAAGUGUUUUAAACUUCAGUUUUUUAGCUCUGUAUAACUGUCAUUAAGACAAACAAAAAAAAUUUAUUUAUACUUUCAUACAUAUUUCGGGCCUAUUAAAACUCACUUUAAAAAGUACAUCAUAAAUAUUACAGGGCAUAAAUCAAAUGCAUAAUCUACCGUAACAUAACCUGAAACUAUAUGCUUGCAAAAUACCCAAAAUGGCGUUGGAAAAUUUAUUCUCGAUUUUAUAUUUCACAGUUCCAUCAACAUUAUCAAAGAUGUGUCAAUGAACAAAGAAUGAAGCACAAACUUGACAUUUAUAAACAACUUACCAUAAUAUCAAUACGCUCUAAAUGGAGCCCAAAAAAAAAAAAGCUUUAUUCAAAACUAACCCAUUAUUAGUUUCAACAUAGCGAUUCAAAUCUUUCGAGUAUCGGCAAAAUUCAGAGCGGGACAUGAUGCAAAUUUGGUGUUUCUUCUUCACUUCACACAUGUAAUAAAUACUGCUUUGCUAGAAAUUAAAAAUUUUUUGCCUUCUCAACAGAGCUUUCGUCUGAGCUUUUUAUUUAUAUGAAUGAUCACAAGGCACGAUUUUUUCACAAUGAUUUGACAAUUCACUGGGCUUAUGUCAACUAAAAUAUGUAAAAGUUAUGCUUGUCAAAUUAAAUUACUAAAUUGCUCAUAACUAACCAUAUGAGAUCUACCGUUUGUAUUCCGUAAGGGGGUUUUUACUAAUAAAUGAAUUUUGGCCAUCUAAGUGCAAAAGACCCAAAAAUCAAGGGAGGAAAAUAAAAAUUACCCUAAUAUUAGGCGGUAAUAGAUAGGGAAUGGUCUUUUAAAUUAGAAGGAAAGCUGAAUUCAUUAUUCAAGACUUUCAAGUGGUGGUGACUGCUUAAGAUCUCGUUGUAAUUGAUGCUAGUCACUUUAAACAAACAUAGCCCUCUAACCAGUAACAUCGUGGGUACCAAAAGAGGAGUUCAAAUUUGUGAGGCAAUCCCGAUUUGUCAUCUCAACCAAACUUUUAAAUUUAGUUGUCCGAACCAGGACCACAUUUUGUUCCUAUGUUUUUAAGUCGCUGGGAGCAGGGUUUUAUUAAUUAUUUCCGCUAGUCAUGUGAAGUUGUCAAAUUAGUAUUACAUGACCCCAGGAGUCAUUAUUUUUUCUGUUUUAUUGAAUAAGCAACAUUGUGUAAUAAAAACACCGAAUAUGCUGUCGUUGGUUCAGAUAUUGGUGGCUUUGACAACAAAAGGGGAUGCUCUAAUUGUGGUGGAAGCUUGAGUCUUAAGCCUUUCCAAAAUGCAAGGAGAUAUGCUUAACUUGUUUGCUAGGCUGAUGCCCUGGAUGCCUCAUUUUUGUGGUCCAGUCUAUAAUUGACAGAUAAAUUAUUUUAGUUUUAAUAUCGACCAUCCAACCUACACAUGGAGCAUCUACGCACUAAUACAAACUUCUUUGGGAAAUAAACUGAUAUUGUAUACAUUAUAUUUCAUCCACUUAAACGAGGACAUUUUGAUUUUUGAGUUUGGUUUGGUCCUUGAUGGUUGGGAUGUUCUCUAUCAAAUGGGUACAGGUAUGAGUAUUGGCAUCUCCCCACAAUAUCCGAUCCAUUCCCAUAUGAGUUAUGCAACAGACUCAUUAUUAAUACUAUUAAAUUUAUUAUUUUCUACACAAAUAACCAAACUAUCAUUCAUCCCAUCUAAUUCCAGAGAUGAUGCUUCAUAAAUUUUAUUACUGAAAACGUUCUCUCUACUAUUGUUACGGAAAUUGAAAUAAUUAAUCAUACUAUUAGGAAUAGAAAAAUUUUUCGAUGGUGUAUUAUUAUUAUUAUUAAUUAAAGUAUAGAAUUUCAUAUUUUUUUUUAAAGUUAAUGUUUAAAGUUUAUGGGUUUAUAGGGGCUAUUUUUUAAUAGAUUUAUCAGAACCUACUUAGAAAAUCACAAUAAUUUUUUUUUAUUCUUAGAUUUUUUUUUGGGCUAGCGUGCUGCCAUUAUGUGACAUCAUCAAUUAUGGAUGACAGAUAACGUUUGGUUUGGUUGGACUGUUGAUACAAAUUACAAAAUUUGGUAAAAAUUUGAACAAAUUCAAAUUUUUGUAGUAUUUUUUAUAAGGGAAAUUAUCAGGCAUAUACCCUUAAAUGACACCAGUAUCAAACGUGCUACAACACUUUUCAUUUAUAUCACUUGUAUACCCUAAGUUGACAAAAGAGUUUUGGCGUCCACCUUUUCGUUUACUACCGUUAAGAACUUAACGGAAUUUGAGCAAAAUGACUAUUUUACCCUUUAAACUCAAAAUGUGGUAAAAAGCUAAGUUUACCUUGAAAAUUAAUGUAAAUUUUCAAUACACAAUUUUUUUUAUUUUGUUAUUAACAAUACAUUUUUUUAUUAAAAAAAUAUGAAUUAUUAAUGGUACAUAUUAUUAACAAUUAUCCAUAAAAAAAAUCCAUCUUAUAGCAUAAAAAAUUAUUAACAACAUAUUAUUUACAAUUAUACAUAUUAUACCAUAAAAAAUUCAAGUUUGAGCUUGGAGGAAUAGAUCUUCAAUAAUUUAGGUUAAAUUUUGGAGUAGAUUCAGUUGUAAAGUAGUUUUUUUUAGCAAUUAUUAACAAUUAUCCGAUAAAUGGGAUGACAUGUCAUUUUUAUCAAAAUAUAUCAUAUGACAUGUCGUGUUUUACUAGGUAAAUGGGAUGACAUGUCGUUUUUAAAAAAAAGACUAGAUUACCCUCAUGAUAUCAGCGCUCGCAAACGGCAGUUAACGGAUUGGUGGACGACAGAAGUGUUUUGUCAACUUAGGGUAUACGAGCUAUACACUUGAAAUGUGUUGUAGCACGUUUGAUACUGAUGUCAUUUAAGGGUAUAUGGCUGAUAAUUUCCCUUUUUAUAAUAAAGUAAAUUUAAAGUGGGGCAAAACUAUAUUACCCCCCGUUGUACCAAACACCAUUUUGGUAUUUUCUUUAGCAAUCCUUGUAGUUUUCUAUAAAUAAUAAAAAUUAUAAGUUUUACAAAUUUUAUACAAUAAGCCCCAAUUAAAAUAUAAUAAUUUCAAAUUUUUAAAAAUUUAUUUGGCAUUUUCUUCAACAAUUCCUAUUGUUUUAUGUAAAUAAUAAAAACUAUAAGUUUUAAUAAUUUUAUGUAAUAAACCCAAUUAAAAUAUAAUAAUUUUAAAAUUGUAAAAAAUUUAUUCUCUCUAUCUCCUUCUCAACAAAUUUUAAAUUUAAGUAAUAGAACAAAUAUUAUACAAUUUAUUUAUUUUCAUAUCAAAUAAAUAAUUGAUUAGCUUCUUACGUAUGAUAAAGUAUAAGUAAUUUUACAUAAUCUCAAAUUUACAUAUAGAAAUUUAUUAUUUUGAAAAUAUUAUUUAUAAACUCUCUAAUGAAUUUAAAUGACUAUCCAAGCAUUUAUUUAAUAUUUAUUUAUUUUCAUUUUAAUAUUGUCAAAAUUUAUAUAAAACAUUGCCUAAUUUUGUGUUACACUAAAUGCAAAAUAUUAUUAUUAAAAUCUAAUUUUUAUUUUAAGUAAAUGGAAGUUGAGAGUAUUUUAACAAGUUAAAAUAAUCCAUCCAUAUUUUUAAUAUAUAAAUAUGUUCAUUUACUAAAUUACUUUUGAUAAUAAAAUAUUUUAACGGACCAAUGUGUCAAAAGUUUGAAACUUAACCUUUUCUUAUUCUUUUAGUAAACAUAAGGGACCAUAUUAUUAAUCGCCAAAUAAUAACAUCUAAGCCGUUGGAAUAGCCUUUGCAACUCUUGGGUUGGAUCCAAUGGUUGGAUCACAAAAAGACCAAAAAAUGGGUAUGAAACCACAAAUAUAUUGUAGUCGGACCCUUUAAAGUGUAUGGUUGAUAACUUCCUUAAAAAAAUAAUAUUUGAACUUACAAAAAAUAAUAAUAUUUUUCUCGCAAAAGUGAGCAAGAGAGAAGGGGUAUACAAUGUAUAAUUAUAUGAGACUAAUAUACCACAUCUUUUAUGCAUCUGUACAAUAAAAUUAUGGUAACAUAAACUCGAAAUUUAUUUUUUAAAGACUUAUGAUGUAAAUUGAUUGGACAAUUUUAUUUAACGUUAUCUUUCUUCUUCGUCAUCUCAUGAUAGGAGAAAAAUUUGUGUGAGAUUGUCCCACCGCCUUGCAUGUUGAGAUAGUGAGACAAUCCACUAAGACUCUUGUCAUGUGUUAGAGCACUGCAUUUGAACAUAAAAUUCACUAAUCUUUAAAAAAUAAAAUUGAAAGAAACAAAAUGUAAGAUUUGCUAUUAUGCUACAUGACAAAAAUCUAAUGGAUUGUCCCACCUGAUGGCAUAAUCGCACACAAAAUUUUCUCCUCAUGAUAGAUGGGUUAGAUAAUUUAAGAUAAUUAAUACUUGCAAAUGUGACCUAGAUAAAUAGUUUUCAUCUUAAUUCUUUCUUUUAAUUACGAAAUGAGUAAAGUAAAUGUGUUGGCGUAAGAUUUUGUUGAAUGGAUAUGUAGUGACUGUAGUGAUGACAUGGCAAGCCAACCCGUGUAAGAAUUUGUACAAAUAAGCGCAUAUUUGGUCCGAAACGACGUUUGCCAAACCCCUCCCCAAGAUCAAAGCAACGUCGUUUCGAAGCCGUAACAAAAACGACCGGUCGCUUGACAAAUUCUACGUAGAUCGUACAACAAAAUGUGCUUUAGUAAAGUUGUCGCAAGAUAUACACAUCAUUGGAAUCUCAGAAGCGCAAAAACACAUUAAGAACAAAAGAUACUCCUCUCAUUCACACAUGCGAUACAGCCACUGAGGCCGAGGGGAAAGCAAUAAAGCAAGACUUUAAGUAGAGCAUUACACUUUCAGUUGCACAGAGAAAAGCUGAGAGCAAAGAAUGGUGUGGCUACCAAAUCAACAGAUUGGAAGAGUGAAGAGAACUCGUAUAUGGGCUGGAGCAUUCCUCUGUUUGCUCUUCUUCAUGCUGGCCACUCCCAAAUUCCCUUCGUCUCGUGAAAGCCACCUUUUUGCUGACAUGCGCAAUUUUUUCGGUAUCUCUAACUCUAAAUGUGUUUUUAUUUAUCUACGAUGUGAUAUUUUUUCCCUGUUGAUGUGAUUUUGGUAUCUGGGUGUGGGACAGGAGUGCCUAACACUUUGAACGUACUCUCAAAUUUCCCAUUUUUGAUUGCGGGCGUUAUGGGGUUUGUGCUCACUCUUCAAGGAAUUUUUUUUAACAUAAGGUCGGUUGAUUUUGAUUUUUAUUGUUUUUUUUUAUAAUUAUUGUGUUAGUGUUUUUUUUUUUUUCUUUUUUUAUGAGUAAAAUUUGGUGAUGGGUAUUAUUUUGGUUUGUUGGGUGGUAUUUGGACUUGGACAUGGAGUGGCUGCAGUUUUCGCGGCGAGGUGUGGGGUUGGGCGCUAUUCUAUGCUGCAAUAACGGGUGUGGCGUUUGGUUCUGCUUACUAUCAUCUUAAGCCUGAUGACGAUAGAGUUAUGUGGGACACCUUACCGGUUAGAAUUUCAAUUCCAUUCAAUAUAUUGGUUAUGAAUUGCAGCAUAAGGUGAAAUACUGUUUUUCCUGCAUUGAUAGCGUCUGCUGUUUCUGAAAGUUGAAUUGCCAUGCUGAGCUAACUAGUCACAAUUAUGCAUACUAUGACUACAUACUUAGCUUGACUUAUGUUUUGAAUUUUCUAAAAGCCAAAUGAUUUUGAUUAUGGAACUCAAAAUGUUUAUUAUGUUUUUUUUUUCUUCUCCAGAUUCAUGUUUAAGCAAUGGAGGAAUUUUGCUUCCUUUUAAAUUUCUCUACCUUGAUGAUGUAGGUGCUACUACCUUAUACUGUCUUAAUGUGCAUUUCUGAUUGCAGAUGAUGAUCGCAUAUGCCUCACUGUUCUCUAGUUUGCUUGCUGAGAGAGUGGAUGCAAAGAUUGGAUUAAGUUGUUUGAUUGCACUCGUAUCAGUCUCAUUUCUCAGUAUGAUUUAUGCCAGGUUAGCUUAUAGACACCUGUAUGUCACUAAUCAGUUUUUCAACUACUGCUUCAAACUCAGACUUGAAACAUUUACAAGUGUUCGACUGAAUGUAGCCUGCUAGUUUGUUGCAGAACAUUUAAUGAUUUUCGGUUGUGCAUGACGUUCCAGUUGAUUCCAACAAUAGCCAUUCCAGUCGUCACAUUUUUGUUCCCACCCAAGUAUACUCACUCAAGAUGUUGGCUUUAUGCUACCGGUACUCAAUGUCCUUUUUCCCCUCAGAUUUAUUCUGACUUUAUAUAUAAGCUCAUAUGAUGGGUGUUGUAAGCAUUCUAUUGUAAAAAUUGCGGAAUAUUUGUUGAAAUAGGGAGAAAAAAAUCCAUGUGAUAAAAAUUUGAUUUUGAUUCUAGGGCUUGUGUUACUUGCCUGGUAAUAAAGACAGAGCAGAGAGAGCUCUGCAGGUGUGGAUGGGAUGCAGUGCCACAGCCAGCGGGUUUUACCAAACACCUCAGCAGCCGGGCUUUGGCAGUCCAGCUGCUGGAAAUCAGACUCAAACGGGUCUUUGGAGUGUUAGACAUGAUUAGGUUCUUGAAAGUUACUAGAAAUGUAUCAUUUUUGUUCGAGUAUCUUUUAUCUGUUCCAAUGAUUUAUCAGUAUCCUUACUUCACCAAGUUCACUGAUGUCUAUAUGUUCGUAAAACCUGAUGUCUAUAUGUUGAUAAAACUAAACCAUGAAAACAAUAUGCAAGUAUCCUUACUUCACCAAGUGCUGAAAAUGGUUUUAUUAGUUACGGCAUAAUAGUUUAUUUCGUUGUUUUACUUUCAAAACUGUGUUUAAAUCAGUCCAUUGGUUCUGGCACAUGCACAGUUUGAAGUUAUUAGCACAGUAGUCAACAUUGUGAAGAUUUUACUUUCCUUUCAUUAAUGUACUAGUCAUGUUUAACUCUCAAGAGGUCUGAAAACUCUUUGCUACAGGGUUUUACCUUCUAGCAAAAUUUGAAGCUGCUGCAGACAGGAAAAUUUAUAGUAAAACUCAUUACAUAAUCAGUGGGCACUCCUUGGAGCACUUGUGCUCAGCAAUCGUCCCUGUUCUGCUUUCAGUUAUGCUCAUGUAUAGAGAUACAAAAUUUCAAAGGUACGUUAUAUUUCUCUGUCAUGUCUGAGAAGUUAGGUGGGGCAAAAUGAUGUUUGUGUUUAUGGUUUCUAGUACACAAUUCAUGGUUUUAUUAUUUAUUUAUUUUAUCUAGUGUGUAUACCUGUUGGCCUUUGCUCACUUGCUUCGACCUUAGAGAAAAGCUGACUGGUCUUGUUUACUCUUACAUGUUUGCCGGACUAACAACAGAUUAGGUGACUGUAAAGAGGGCGUCCGUGACAAAUGAAGAUGAAAUGCAAUGUUUUCGUAGUGCAGUAGUUAUCAGGUAGGUGCUUGAGAAUUUGUAGUGAAACCAUGAUAGCAUUUUGGUGAUUUGUAUUACACAACCCAUUUGUAGCCCAAGAAGAACUUGAUGAUUCUCCUGUAUUUUCCUCCUUGUAUCGAAUUCUCAAGACUUUAAGCUGAACAUGGAGAUAAAAAUUUGUUGGUUAUUUGCUCUUGUAUCCUAUAUGAGUAUAUUUGGUUUGGCCGGUAAUUGUAUUAUUUGUUGCUAUUGUUUCCGCAGUUAUUCUGGGAAUGGUAGCCUUUUUCAUAUUGUGAUUUCAACGAGUUUCUGCUGGGAAAUGCACUCGUCCGGUAUAGCUUGCUUUUUGAGCAAAGCAUGGGCCAUAAAAUUCUGCUACCUUAAAUCUUGUUCGCCAUUGACCUUUUAAGGAUUGUGAUUGAACUAUAUGUGAAAUAAUGGACAAUGACAUUGAUGCAUAGAAGAUGGAACCAUUGCACAUGUAUUGUCUGUGAUCCUUGUUCAUAGCGUGCAAUGUUCCAACAUUCCUUGCAAAGUAGAUUGCUUGAAUUGUAAAGUUACAGUGACUACGACAUUCCGGACCCUAGAUUUCGUUUUGGUAAUUGAGCAUCUGCGACUGUGAGAUGACAAUGAGAUCACAAAUUAACAAUUCCAAUGCCACAUGUAUGGCACACAAUCACAAUAUGGCUUCACAUGCUUAAUGUUCUCUGGACAAUUCUAUUAUUUGGCCUCAUAAUCCUCUCCAACAUAAAGGGCAUGCCAUACUCACAUGCAGGAACAUGUGCCAAUUGAACGAACGAAGGCAAAAUGUCAUGACUAAUACAUAUGAUAUGUUGCCCAAAAAAAAAAAAAAAAGAGAGUUUUGAACAGUGUGAAUGCAAGAAUUUGACUUUAAAACUAACUGAUAAAGACAAAUGAAUUUUCUUUAAUACCAACAGCUGCUGAAUUAAAGUAUUUGGUGAGAUUAAGGAUCGGUUACCUGUUCCCAUCAUUUGCUUUGAAUAAACGUCCCCCAAAUUAUCUCAAUUAGCUGGCACUGCUUCUCUGAUUAGUGUUUAUAUGCAUGUGACUUUUGUGCCCUGCUAUGUACUUGCUAUGUCGUUUAUACCUUCAAUCCUAGUACCCAGUAAUGGAAAUUGGAAUGAAUCCCCUGUCAGCAGAGGCCUGCCCUGUCUUUGUUUUCAUUUUCUGCCUUUUUUUUUUUUUUUUUUUUUUUUGGUGACUCGGCUAAAAGUGGGGCUCCAUUUUUACGCUUGGUGAUACAGUAAAGUGCAAGUUUUUUUUUUUUUUUUUUCCCCCGAAAUUUCAAAAUGCUCAAGAUUGAUACAGUUUCCUGUUAAAAUUGAGAGAAGGAAAAUAUAAAAUGACUUCGGUUGCACCUUUUUUCCUUGGCAAGUGUCGGUGCGAGCUUCAUUCCUUGUGCCGCUCAGCAUAAUGUCAUUAUUGCUAAUUAUCAUAUGUUUAUCAAAGGAAUUGGACUCUUUCAAAUUAUUGCAAGUUUCACCUUCGGGAAGCAAGAAGGAUACAUUAUUGUUUCGACUUUAUUUAUUUAUUUAUUUAUUUAUAAAUUAUCAUUAAUUGAGUGAUCUAAUUAGAAAAAUUAUUAAACCAAACCACCCCUUGUCUUUUCUCUCGUGGGGUGUCUUAACCCUAAAUUGAUACGACUCGAAGUCAUUGCAGUUGUGAUGGCACUUUAAUUAACGUAAAGAUCCUCAAAUCAAACCUCGAACGCAGCAUUCAUUAUUAACCAGAAAACUCCACAUUUUGACUUGUGAUUUAAGCUUAAGUUAGCUACCUGGCGACUUGGAUUACUUAACUAAUUAUGUUGACCAUCACCAAACCUAAAGUCUACAGAACAGCAAGAGCCAUCAAGAACCGUCGGUGGGGUUUCCUCCUCACAUUGCUCUUCUUCAUGGGCUGUGAUUUGGUGAAUCUCUAUCUACCGUACUAUGUUUGCUUCCAAAAUCCCCAAAAAGGGCCAAAUAAGUGACAAGUUGUAUUAAUUAAUAGUAGAAUUUCAAGAUUAAUAAUUCUACCACUAUUUUUAAGUUUCUAUCAAAUUUCUAUUAAAUAUACUCACUAAAGUGUUUUUUUUCCCAUUAGUUGCUGAUGAUUACUAUUUUCGGGUUUUGUUAAAAUAUUUAAAUUAAUAACUUAAAAAAAAAAAGGAAAAUUGCAUUAUUUUAUUAGAAUUAUUUAGAAAUAAGUAUCAGCCUGUACAUAAUUAUAUAUUUAAUCAAGAUUCUCUGUCAAACUCACAAGAAGAUCAUUAAUCAAAACACCUUCCAACCAUCUGAUCUACAACUACAAGGGCCUCGCCAAUCGCCAUGAGACAUGGACCCCACGUUCUCUGACACUACACUCUUUCACAUGCCCAGAAGCAAGCCAAGACCCUUUUUAUUUAUUUUUUUAUUUUUGGGACGGUUUUAAAACGGCAGCAAAAACAUAGGGGAUAACAUUGGAACCCCUAGCUAUUCUCAUUCACAACGAAUAACUUUAGUUCGUGCAUGUAAUCAAAUAGACCCCUAGUCUUUAUAAAUAUACACUUAAAAAUCAACAGAGACAUGCCCGGAUCAGCUUUAUGAUAGCAUAUCCUAAAUAUGAGGCUUUGGAAUGAGUGAAUUUAAUUUUAAAUAUUUGAAGAAAAUUUUCUUCUAUUAAUAUAGAUAAUAAAUAAAUUUAAACCUUUUCAAAAAAAAAAAAUUUAAUAUGUUCAUAUCAUCAUAUGCACAAAAAGAAAGAUAUGUUAAUAAAUAAGUGGUUCUAGAUAUAUUUUAAAAUUUUUUAAUUAUAAAAUAAUAUGAUACAAAAAUUUUGGACAGACAAUAAUAGUUAGUUUUGUUAACAUAAAUAUGUUAAUAAUAUUGAUUUUGAUGAUAACAAAUUUUAAAUGAUUUUUUAUAAAAGUAUUGGAGCUAUUUCUUAAUAAACGAGAGCCUUAGUAAUCAUUCCAUUCAUGCUUCAUAAAAGAUGGACUUUAAAAUUAGAAAAAGAUUCUCUGCAAAAAUAAAAAACUGGUUUAAAAUGUAAUUCUGGUUAUAAACGGUAAACCGUUUAUUUAAACGGUUAACCGAUAACAGCCAGAGAGCAACAUAUUUCCUAAGCCUCUAACCGUUUAUGAAAAACGGAAAACACAAAAGAUGGGAAGGUUACUGGAACUUAACGGUGAACCGUUUAUUUUAAACGGUUAACCGAUUAUCACCAGAGAGCAACAUAUUACCUAAGCUCUAACCGUUUAUGCUUACCGGAAAACACCCAAGAUGGGAAGGCUACUGGAACCUAACGGUGAACCGUUUAUUUUAAACGAUUAACCGAUAACGUCCAGAAUUGAAGGUUGUCCUCCUCUGGCACUGAUUAACGAAAACUGAUAAGGCUAAAUUGUUUUGCAGGUUACUGGAGACAAACGGCGAACCGUUUAUAUCAAACGGUUAACCAAUAAUGUCCAGAGAAGCCACUUCACGCAAGUCCUUAACCGUUUAGCGUAAACUGAUAACAAAUACUCAUUUUGCAGGUCUCUGGAAGUUAACGGCGAAAGGGCAACCCUAAACGGCAAACCGUUUAUUUGAAAUCUGGCCCAACGGUAACUUUGACCAGCCUAAACGGUUAACCGUUUAUGGUUAACGGCGAACCGUUUUCUGUCCGACAGUUUGUAACGGCUAGAUUUUCGGCUCCAAAUAUAAAUAAGCUCAUUCAAAUUCAAAGAAGAUUGAUCACAACACGACCAUUUGAGCUAAUAUUCGAGAAUACAAUCUUCAUAGAGCUUAGAACAUAUUCUUGCUUCAUCUAUUCACAUAUUAAGCAUCAUUGUGUAAUCUUAUAUAUUGUGAGAGGCAAAACAAUUUAUAAUCUUUUAUUUUGAGUGAUUGUAAGUGUUGGGAUACACUUGGGUUAAGAGAUUAGGGAUAAUCUUUUGUUGUAAAGGUUCAUUGACACCUUGGAAGUCAAGUGUAAGCAUUUGAAGCCUUGGAGGCUUGCUUAGUGGAAUCCUCAAGCCCGGAAAGCUUGAAGGCGUGGACGUAGGCGAGGUUGGCCGAACCACGUAAAAAUCUCGGUGUUUGAAUCCCUCUUUCCUUAUCUUUUUAUAUUGUGAUUCUCUUAAUUGUUAUUGCUUUGAAUUUGAUUUAUAAUUGCAUUAAGAUUUUCUUUAAUAAAUUGAAUAAUUUUUUUAGAAUCCCAAUUCACCCCCCCUCUUGGGUUGCAUUCUUGUAUUUCAAUUGGUAUCAGAGCCUCGUUCUCUUGUUAAGACUUAAUCGUCUAGAGUAAAAGAUCCAUGGCAACCCUAAAUGACUCAACCUUUAGAGAAGGGCAAUCCACAACUAGACCACCAUUUUUCGAUGGUAAUGACUAUGCUUAUUGGAAAACUAGAAUGAGAAUUUAUUUGCAAGCCUUAGAUUAUGAAAUUUGGGAAGUUGUUUGUGAUGGUCCAUUCAUGCCUACGUUCAAAGAUGAAGUAGGAGAUGAUAUUCCUAAACCAUCGAGUCAAUGGAGUGAGUUAGAAAAGAGAAAGAUGUCUCUAAACUCCAAGGCUAUGAAUGCUUUGUUUUGUGCCCUUGAUAAGAAAGAAUUCCAUAGAGUAUCUAGUUGUGAAAGUGCACAAGAGAUAUGGAACAAACUUGAAGUUGUCUAUGAAGGGACAAAUCAAGUGAAAGAGUCUAAAAUCAGUAGAUACACUCGUCAAUAUGAGUUGUUCUAAAUGGAACAAAAUGAAAUGUGUAUUCUAUGUAUACUAGAUUCACGGACAUAGUGAACACCCUAGGUGCCUUAGGGAAAACCUUCUCAAAUAGUGAGAAAGUUAAGAAAAUCAUUAGGUCUCUUCCAAAAGAAUGGAGACCUAAAAGAACCGCUAUUGAAGAGGCCAAAGAUUUAAAUACUUUACCUCUUGAUGAUUUAAUUGGUUCUCUUAUUUCGUAUGAAGAGGAUUUAGCUGCAGAAAGAGGACAUGAGGAGAAGAAGAAAAGCAUUGCUCUCAAAGCUUCAAAAUAUGAGAGUGAUGAGGAGAGUGAACCGGAUAAUGAAGAACUAGUCAUGCUAGCAAGGAGGUUCAGAAAAUUCUUCAAGAAAACCGGAGAGCGAAGAAAUUUCAGAAACUUCAAGAACUAUAGGGAGAAGAAGGAGGCAAUCACUUGCUAUGAAUGCAAGAAGCCUGGACAUAUAAGAUCGGAGUGCCCACUUAUCAACAAACUCAAGAAGAAAGCAAUGGUUGCAACUUGGGAUGAUAGUGAGGAAGAAUCAAAUGAUGAAGAAGGAUCGCAAGAAGUAUCAAACCUAGCACUCAUGGCAAUAGGAGGAGAUGAUGAUCUCAAUGAGGUAAGUGAUCCUACCUAUGAUGAAUUAUAUGAUGCUUUUCAAGAUUUGCAUAAUGAGUUGAUGAAAAUUGGUAAAAAGAAUGUAUGUCUUAAAAAGGAAAUGGCAAAGCUUAAAAAUGAAAAUGAAUCUCUAAAUGCAAGAAUUGUAUGCCUAGAAGUAGGAAACAAAACAUUGCAUGAUGAAAUUGCAUUAUCAAAUGAGAAACCUAGCAUCUUACAUGAGCAUUUGAAAUCACACAUAGAUGAGUUGAAAAAUGAGAACGAAUUGCUCAAGAAAAAGAAUAAUGAAUUAAAUGAAAUUGUUUUGAAAUUUACAAAUGGGCAAAAGAUGUUGGAUAAUAUGCUUAACUCACAAAAAUGUAUUUUUGAUAAAGGAGGACUUGGAUAUAAGCCAAAUUUGAAGCAAAAGUAUUAUAAGAAUUAUUUUGUUAAAGCUACCUCCACAAAUGAUCAUAAGAUUGUAUGUCAUUAUUGUAAUCAAAAUGGUCACAUGAAAUUUAAAUGUCCCGUGAAAAGGAAUGCAUAUUAUGGUGUCAAGUGCAUUUGGGUUCCAAAAGGAACCGUUGCUAACUCUCAAGGACCCAAAAAGCUUUGGGUACCUAAAACUUGAGACUUUUUCUUGUAGGGCUUGAAGAAGAAGAAUAAUAAAUGGUACUUGGACAGCGGUUGUUCAAGGCACAUGACCGGAAACUAUGCAUGGUUCUCAAGCUUUACCAAAAUUGAAAAUGGUGGAGACGUAUCCUUUGGAGACAACUCAAAAGGAAAAAUCCUUGGAAUUGGAAAUGUUGGUAAAGUUUCUUCAACUCUAAUUGAGAAUGUAUGUUUGGUUGAAAACUUGAAACACAACUUAAUUAGCAUUAGUCAAUUAUAUGACAAAGGUUAUAAAGUUAUCUUUGAUAAAUUUAGUUGUGUUAUUGAGAACUCAUGUGAUGGCAAAACCUUAUUUUUUGGAAAUAGAUGUGGUAAUGUUUAUAUCAUUGACAUAGAAUGUGCAUCUACUCUUGAUAAAUGUUUUUCGGCAUUGCAUGAUGAUUGUUGGUUGUGGCAUAGAAGGUUAGGACAUGCAAGUAUGGAUUUGAUUUCAAAAAUUUCAAAAGAUGAUUUAGUUAAAGGUCUUCCGAAAAUUGGUUUUCAAAAGGAUAAGAUUUGUGAAGCUUGUCAAUUUGGAAAACAAAUUAAAACUUCUUUCAAGAAUAAAAACCAUAUUUCUACUUCAAAACCACUUGAACUUCUUCACAUAGAUCUUUUUGGGCCAUCUAGAUAUGCAAGUCUAAAUGGCAAAUAUUAUGCUUUUGUGAUAGUGGAUGAUUAUUCUAGAUAUACAUGGGUAUUAUUCUUAGCCAAUAAGGAUGAUGCUCUUGAUGCAUUUAAAGUGCUUUGUAAGAAAUUACAAAAUGAAAAAGGGCAUGGUAUUGUAUGCAUUAGGAGUGAUCAUGGAGGAGAAUUUGAAAAUCAUGCAUUUGAGAGUUUUUGCAAUAAUCUAGGCAUUGAGCAUCAAUUUUCUUCACCUAGAACUCCACAACAAAAUGAAGUUGUUGAGAGAAAGAAUAGGUCUAUUCAAGAAAUGGCUAGGACCAUGUUAAAUGAAAAUGCAUUACCAAAAUAUUUUUGGGCCGAAGCCGUCAACACCGCUUGUUAUGUUUUAAAUCGGGUGUUGAUUAGACCUAAUCUUAAUAAAACUUCAUAUGAGCUUUGGAAAGAUAGAAAACCCAACAUUGGCUAUUUUAAAGUUUUUGGAUGCAAAUGUUUUGUUUUGAACACAAAAGACAAUCUUGGUAAAUUUGAUUCAAAAUCCGAUGUUGGUAUUUUUCUUGGUUAUUCAAAUUCAAGCAAAGCUUAUAGAGUUUAUAACAAAAGAACUUUAGUUGUGGAAGAAUCUAUGCAUGUCACAUUUGAUGAGUCUAACCCCUCCUCUACGAAGAAAGUCGUUGUUGAUGAUGAUGCAGGAGAAGAAGAACAAGAAGAAGAAGCAUCAAAUGACAAUCAAGAGGAUGCACCACAUGGAAUUCAAGAGGAACAUCAUGAAGAACCAAAUGUGGAGCAAAAUGAAGGUACUUCUCAAACACUCCCCAAGGAGUGGAGGUAUGUCUCUUCUCACCCUAAAGAUGUAAUUUUAGGAGAUCCCUCACGAGGUAUAACAACUAGAUCAUCACUUAGAAAUACUUGUGAGCAUAAUGCAUUCAUCUCUCAAAUUGAACCAAAAUCCUUUGAGGAUGCAGAAAAUGAUGAAUCUUGGAUUAUGGCAAUGCAAGAGGAGUUAAAUCAAUUUGAAAGAAACAAUGUGUGGGAACUAGUUCCUAAACCUGAACAUCAAUCUAUAAUAGGUACUAAAUGGGUGUUUAGAAAUAAGAUGGAUGAAUCCGGUGUGGUUGUAAGAAACAAAGCUAGAUUAGUGGCUCAAGGUUACAACCAAGAGGAAGGAAUUGAUUUUGAUGAAACCUUUGCACCUGUAGCAAGGUUAGAAUCCAUUAGGAUGUUGUUAGCAUAUGCAUGUCAUAAGGAUUUUAUUUUAUAUCAAAUGGAUGUCAAGAGUGCUUUCUUAAAUGGAUAUAUUUUGGAGGAAGUUUAUGUGAAACAACCUCCUGGUUUUGAAAAUGAAAAAUUUCUAAAUCAUGUGUAUAAGUUGCUCAAAGCCUUGUAUGGAUUAAAACAAGCACCUAGAGCAUGGUAUGAUAGACUUAAAAAUUUCUUGCUAGAAAAUGACUUCUCUAUGGGUAAAGCGGAUACUACUCUUUUUGUUAAGCAUAAGAACCAAGACAUACUUAUUGUUCAAAUUUAUGUUGAUGAUAUUAUUUUUGGUUCUACUAAUGAGUUGUUGUGUAAAGAAUUUUCAUUGUGUAUGAGCAAAGAAUUUGAGAUGAGUAUGAUGGGAGAGUUGAAAUACUUCCUUGGACUUCAAAUCAAACAAAGCGAGGAAGGAAUUUUCAUAAAUCAAGCCAAGUACAUAAAGGAUCUACUCAAACGAUUCGGCAUUGAUGAUUCAAAGACCAAGAAUACACCAAUGAGCACAACAACCAAGCUGGACAAAGAUGAAAAAGGUAAAGAAGUGGAUAUCAAAAUGUAUCGAGGUAUGAUCGGAUCCCUACUCUAUUUGACUGCAAGUAGACCCGAUAUCAUGUUUAGUGUAUGUUUGUGUGCAAGAUUUCAGUCAUGUCCCAAGGAAUCUCAUUAUGAGGCUUUGGAAUGAGUGAAUUUAAUUUUAAAUAUUUGAAGAAAAUUUUCUUCUAUUAAUAUAGAUAAUAAAUAAAUUUAAACCUUUUCAAAAAAAAAAUUUAAUAUGUUCAUAUCAUCAUAUGCACAAAAAGAAAGAUAUGUUAAUAAAUAAGUGGUUCUAGAUAUAUUUUAAAAUUUUUUAAUUAUAAAAUAAUAUGAUACAAAAAUUUUGGACAGACAAUAAUAGUUAGUUUUGUUAACAUAAAUAUGUUAAUAAUAUUGAUUUUGAUGAUAACAAAUUUUAAAUGAUUUUUUAUAAAAGUAUUGGAGCUAUUUCUUAAUAAACGAGAGCCUUAGUAAUCAUUCCAUUCAUGCUUCAUAAAAGAUGGACUUUAAAAUUAGAAAAAGAUUCUCUGCAAAAAUAAAAAACUGGUUUAAAAUGUAAUUCUGGUUAUAAACGGUAAACCGUUUAUUUAAACGGUUAACCGAUAACAGCCAGAGAACAACAUAUUUCCUAAACCUCUAACCGUUUAUGAAAAACGGAAAACACAAAAGAUGGGAAGGUUACUGGAACUUAACGGUGAACCGUUUAUUUUAAACGGUUAACCGAUUAUCACCAGAGAGCAACAUAUUACCUAAGCUCUAACCGUUUAUGCUUACCGGAAAACACCCAAGAUGGGAAGGCUACUGGAACCUAACGGUGAACCGUUUAUUUUAAACGAUUAACCGAUAACGUCCAGAAUUGAAGGUUGUCCUCCUCUGGCACUGAUUAACGAAAACUGAUAAGGCUAAAUUGUUUUGCAGGUUACUGGAGACAAACGGCGAACCGUUUAUAUCAAACGGUUAACCGAUAAUGUCCAGAGAAGCCACUUCACGCAAGUCCUUAACCGUUUAGCGUAAACUGAUAACAAAUACUCAUUUUGCAGGUCUCUGGAAGUUAACGGCGAAAGGGCAACCCUAAACGGCAAACCGUUUAUUUGAAAUCUGGCCCAACGGUAACUUUGACCAGCCUAAACGGUUAACCGUUUAUGGUUAACGGCGAACCGUUUUCUGUCCGACAGUUUGUAACGGCUAGAUUUUCGGCUCCAAAUAUAAAUAAGCUCAUUCAAAUUCAAAGAAGAUUGAUCACAACACGACCAUUUGAGCUAAUAUUCGAGAAUACAAUCUUCAUAGAGCUUAGAACAUAUUCUUGCUUCAUCUAUUCACAUAUUAAGCAUCAUUGUGUAAUCUUAUAUAUUGUGAGAGGCAAAACAAUUUAUAAUCUUUUAUUUUGAGUGAUUGUAAGUGUUGGGAUACACUUGGGUUAAGAGAUUGGGGAUAAUCUCUUGUUGUAAAGGUUCAUUGACACCUUGGAAGUCAAGUGUAAGCAUUUGAAGCCUUGGAGGCUUGCUUAGUGGAAUCCUCAAGCCCGGAAAGCUUGGAGGCGUGGACGUAGGCGAGGUUGGCCGAACCACGUAAAAAUCUCGGUGUUUGAAUCCCUCUUUCCUUAUCUUUUUAUAUUGUGAUUCUCUUAAUUGUUAUUGCUUUGAAUUUGAUUUAUAAUUGCAUUAAGAUUUUCUUUAAUAAAUUGAAUAAUUUUUUUAGAAUCCCAAUUCACCCCCCCUCUUGGGUUGCAUUCUUGUAUUUCAAGUUUAUGGCAGGAGUGACUUUUGAGAGAGCUUGGUAUCUUUAGGAUUGCUAUCAUUAGAGAGAUUGGUAGGUGAAAUAUUGUAAGGGACAUUAGGGGUGUUAUCCGCAAAGACCCUCUGAUGUUUAAGUCGGGGGUUGGGAGUAGCAUUGAUAAUAAAUAAUAACGUAGAUAAAAAAAAAAAAAAAAAAAAGACUUGGAUGAUAUUGUGCUCUAUCCUCCAUUAUCCUUUUUUUUUCCUAUCUUUGGGUACUGGCCUCGGUAUAUAAGAGGAAUAAUUAAAAGUAUAAUUAAGUUAGAAACAAUUAUUUCCUAUAUUGUAAAUUUUGAGUUUGACAAGGAUUAAGAUCUAUGAUAUUUUAUCUUAUUUAGUUUAGGACAUGUCCACUUUUGUCAUUAGGUAAAAAUCUAAGUACAACAAACAAUCUACUAAUAUUUAUAAUUAAAACUCCAUUAUUUUUUUAAUUUUAAUAUACUAUUUGGGAUAUCUUGUACUACUCUUAUUCAAAUUAUAUUAUAAUACAAUCCUAAAAUAUAGAUAAAGAGUGGAGCUAUUGGCACUCCCUUAUUAAACUUUUAAAACCCCUAUUUUCUGCAAUUACAUUUAAGGACAAAUGUAAAUCUACCAUAUUUUCUCUCUCUAAAAUACAAACACGCCCAUACGCCCAUGCCUCGCAUAAGUACAAUUUUUCACUAUUUACAAUUUCUUGGCAUUCAUCAUCAAUUCCAUUCCAAAUAUCAAUGAAUUGUUUGAAUCUCAGGCAUCCAAAAAACUAAAAAAGAGUGUUAUAGACCUAACAAUCUUUUGUUUGAAAAAUCUCAUGACUAUCCAAUGGCUUAGCAUAAAUUAAGGAGUGGGACUAAGAGAAUUUAUAAAACGGCAAAAUUGCAAGAGAAAAGAUUUCAAGAGAUGGACGGAAAAUUGUAUGAAUGACGAGACCAAAAGCAUGACAUGAGAUAGGUGGCAGAAAUAUUUUCGAUAUUUAUUGUUGGGUAUUGUUGAGAAAAUCAAAUUUAGAAGAAGGGUAACUUUGGAAUUAAAGUAGGUGCUAAUAAUAACUAUAAAUUUUCUAUCAUUGUUCAAUGGGGUGUACUUAUAAUAGAGGUUUUAAAAGGAUAUUAGAGGGAUGCCAAUAGCCCCACUCAUAGAUAAAAAAUAAGUUAUACUUCUAAAUAUAUGGAAGAAAAUUAAUCUUUUUACAACACAAGGUAGUUGAAUAUUCAAAUUACCGAUGUAUAACUGAUGACAUACUGUGAAGUGUAUUUAAGUUAUUUUAUGGGACCUAAUUGACAGAAGAGAACAAACUAACGUGCUUGGACGAACAAUCACAGAAAACAGGGGGACCCAAAUCUCAUAAUGAAGAAAAAAAAAAAAACAUGAUCAAAACUACGUCUACGUGUGGUCGUGUGAGAAGUAGGGAGUGAGAUCACAAAUCGAAUUGAAAACUUGGCAUAAAAGUUAUCAACGAAAAGGAAAUUACAGCAACAAUAUAAGAAGAGUAAGCUUUGAGUCAAGACGGAGACAGAGAAAGCAAAGCCAGAUUCCAAAGUUGGUGAGGUGUACGCAUCCCUUUUGGGUGGCGACUAUUGCCUCUUCCCUCCCCCCUCCAACUCCCUUUCUCACUUUACAUAUCACAAACACAUUCUUCAUUCCUCUCCAAAUCUAAAUCACCAAGUAAAAAAUAAUAAAUAAAUAAAAAAGAAUGUCCGACAGAGUCUUCCCGUCUUCAAAACCCGCCGCGAACGGCAACGGCACCGUCUCUGCCGCCGCGCCUCCCCCCGUAAAGCCCCCACUCCGCCCGCCGUACCGUCCCCAGCCCCACGCACGCCGCCACCACCACCGGCCCCGCCGCAGCUACUGCUGCUGCUGCUGCUUCUGGACCAUUCUCGUAAUUCUCAUCCUCGCUCUACUCGCCGCCAUCGCCGCCACCGCUCUUUACGUCCUCUACCGGCCCCAUCGCCCCGAAUUCUCCGUCCCCUCCCUCCGGCUUCACCGCCUCAACCUCACCUCCUCCGCCGACUCAUCGACCAACCACGUCGCCACUCUCUUGAACUUCACCGUCACUUCGAAGAACCCAAACUCCCACAUCACUUUCUACUACGACCCGUUCGUUAUUUCUGCCUUGUCCUCGAGUGACGUAUUCCUCGGAAAUGGGACUGUGCCUGGUUUCUUUUCGGACAAAAAGAACCAGACCUUUCUCAAAAACGCGGUCGUCUCGGGAUCCAUUGAUCUUGACACGGAUUCGGUGAAGUCAUUGAAGUCGGAUCUGAAGAAAAAGAGUGGGGUUUCCUUAAAAAUAAAGCUGGACACGAAGGUGAAAGUGAAAGUGGGGAAGCUCAGCAGCAAGAAGGUGGGCAUUAGGGUUACGUGUGAAGGUUUUAGAGCGGCAUUACCAAAAGGUAAGUCACCGUCGGUGGCUACCGUUGAUAAGUCUAAGUGUAAGGUCGAUCUUCGGAUCAAGAUCUGGAAAUUUACUUUUUAGUUUUUCUUCUUUCUUUCUUUUUCUUUUUCUUUUUUAAAAUUUAAUUCAGCUGUUUGUUCCCCCACACACAAACCCCAACCCCCCCUUCUUCUUUCCCUUUUUUUUGGGUUAUAUUUUUGAGAGUUUGUUAACUGUUUAUUCUGAUGAAGAUGAACAUGAAAGGUGAAUUAUGGAGUUGAGAAAUUGGAAAUUGAUAAUGUGAGUAGAGAGAGUGAAAGAGGAGAAAGGUGUUAAAUUUAGAAUUUUAUCCCAAAAAUCUGCCUUUUUUUUUUUUUUUUUUAAGUGUUGUAAGUGAAUUUGGUUGAUAUAUAUAUAAUUGGUUCAUUGAGAAUUGAAUUAUGAGAGUAUUACUUUUGUUAAUUUACAUGGUCUAUAGCAUAAUUAUGCAAAAGCAUAAUUCAAUGAAUUCGAUGUUAAUUGUACUAACGCAUUUGACGAAGUGCUGUGCUUGUGAAAGCGGCGGGCAUUUAUACUUUUAUGGGGUUGUUGAUCAUUCAGGAAAGAUGAUAUGAUGACUUCUCAGGAUUGUUGAUGAAUUUAGAGAGUGGGUAACCUGAAGGGUCCGUUUUGCCAGUUUUGAGUUGCAUUUUUCAAGUCUUGUUAGUAAUAAAAAAUAAAAAAU